rnacentral:rRNA from 1 species
AUUAGAUACCCUAUUAUUUUAAAUGUAAAUAAUUAUACUGAAUUAGUAUUAGUUAUGUUCUUGAAAAUUAAAAAAUUUGGCGGUAUUUUAGUCUUUUCAGAGGAACCUGUCCUGUAAUCGAUAGUCCACGAUAUGAUGUAUUUUAUUUAUUAGUUUACAUAUCGUCGUAGUUUGAAUAUUUUAAUAGAAAUAUAAUAUUCAUAAUUCUAUAUUAAGAAAUAAAUCAGAUCAAGGUGUAGUUUAUAGUAAAAUUGAGAUGGGUUACAAUAAAUUUAUUUUAGGAUAAUUUUUAUUAUAAAAAUUUGAAUAUGGAUUUGAAAGUAAUUUUAUUUAAUUAAUUAAAAUGAUUUUAGCUCUAAAAUAUGCACACAUCGCCCGUCCGCUCUA